GCGUGUGUAGCUUAACAUAAAGCAUGGCGCUGAAGACGCCAAGAUGGGCCCUAAAAAGCUCCAUAUGCA
rnacentral:tRNA from 1 species